rnacentral:rRNA from 1 species
GACGGUCAAGGUCCUCAUGGCCCUUACGGGCUGGGCUACACACGGUGCUACAAUGGUGGUGACAGUGGGCAAGGCGAGACCGCGAGGUCGAGCUAAUCUCCAAAAGCCCAAUCUCAGUUCGGAUUGCACUCUGCAACUCGAGUGCAUGAAGUUGGAAUCGCUAGUAAUCGCGGAUCAGCAUGCCGCGGUGAAUACGUUCCCGGGCCUU